GACGGAGGAUGCAAGUGUUAUCCGGAAUCACUGGGCGUAAAGCGUCUGUAGGUGGUUUAAUAAGUCAACUGUUAAAUCUUGAGGCUCAACCUCAAAAUCGCAGUCGAAACUAUUAGGCUAGAGUAUAGUAGGGGUAAAGGGAAUUUCCAGUGGAGCGGUGAAAUGCGUAGAGAUUGGAAAGAACACCGAUGGCGAAGGCACUUUACUGGGCUAUUACUAACACUCAGAGACGAAAGCUAGGG
rnacentral:rRNA from 1 species